rnacentral:rRNA from 1 species
GAGAGUUAAAUAGUACGUGAAAUUGUUGAAAGGGAAACGAUUGAAGUCAGUCAUGCUAGUGAAAAUUCAGUUUGACGGGUUUUAGGUUUGGGAGUAGAGGCAGGGUCAAACCGUUUCUCUUUUGAACUUGGGAUUUGUCAGAUGCACUUUUUCUUUGGCAGGUCAGCGUCGAUUUCGGAGGUUGUAAAAUACUUGAGUUAAAGUAACUCUGCUUCGGUAGAGUAUUAUAGACCUUGAGGGAUGCAGCCUGCGGGAUCGAGGAUUGCAGCAAAUGCCUUUGGCUUGGCGCCUGAUCUCUGGAUGUUACCUCGCUUGUGACAACAUUCUUGCCUCCGGUGAGUACUAAUGCCCAUUAGGUUAGAGCGACCAGAAAUUUGCUAAGGAUGCUGACGUAAUGGCUUUAAACGA